rnacentral:rRNA from 1 species
UGGGGAAUUUUGGACAAUGGGGGAAACCCUGAUCCAGCCAUCCCGCGUGUGCGAUGAAGGCCUUCGGGUUGUAAAGCACUUUUGGCAGGAAAGAAACGUCAUGGGUUAAUACCCCGUGAAACUGACGGUACCUGCAGAAUAAGCACCGGCUAACUACGUGCCAGCAGCCGCGGUAAUACGUAGGGUGCAAGCGUUAAUCGGAAUUACUGGGCGUAAAGCGUGCGCAGGCGGUUCGGAAAGAAAGAUGUGAAAUCCCAGAGCUCAACUUUGGAACUGCAUUUUUAACUACCGGGCUAGAGUGUGUCAGAGGGAGGUGGAAUUCCGCGUGUAGCAGUGAAAUGCGUAGAUAUGAGGAGGAACACCGAUGGCGAAGGCAGCCUCCUGGGAUAACACUGACGCUGAGGCACGAAAGCGUGGGGAGCAAACAGG